rnacentral:lncRNA from 1 species
GUGACACACGCGUGUGCACGCAGGUGUCCCCGCAGCCCAGCCACACCGCCGGGAGGAAGUGGGUGCGAAUGGGCUGCGCGUUGCCCUGAGCGCUGAGGCAGGAGGAUCUCCGGGGUUUGAGGCCAGCUUGGGCUGCAGAGCGAGACCCUGCCGGAGCGCGGCAGGUAAUGAGUCAAAAAUAAAAGCUGCUGCUUACGUACUGACGAAGGGCAGAGCAGCAGAGGCAGGGUAACACACACGCCACGUGUCACACAUACGACACGAGUACUCAAGGAUCCUCUCACGUCCCCGAGACCCGGGCAUCUGGGCCACGCUCCCAUCACAGGCUCCAGAGAGACCUCCUGCCUCUGCCUCCUCCGAGGGAGACCCUCCUGCCUCUGCCUCUCCUCCGAGGGAGACCCUCCUGCCUCUGCCUCCCCUCGGGGCUCCAGGAGACCCUGGGCCGCAGCCCCACUGCUCCAGUCCCUGCCUGCGUCUUCAUGUGGCUGCUGCUCUGUCUCUCCUGAGGACGCUGCCGCUGGAGACGAGAGGCUGAGGCAGGGCGGCCUGUCUCCACACGCUGCUCCGAUCCCCCCGGCAGGGACUGUGCCCCCACCCGAGGCCCGCCCCGAAGCAGGCAGCCAUGACACCAUGACCUACUGCCUGAACAGCAAGUCGCCUGUGUCCCGCACGCAGUCUCGGCUGCUGCACUUCCUGAACAAGGCGGCCCCCUGCAUCACUGGGCCGGUGGUGCUCAAGUGGGCGGUCACCCAGGAUGACGCGAUGUCCCGAGGAGGCGCCCUUUAGUCUUAUUUUAGACGGGGUCUCCCAAAGCAGUCCAGGCUGGGCAGGAGCGCGGGGCCCGCCGCCCGGGUCAG